ACAUACGGGGCUUUAUGUCUUGUAAAUUGGAUGAUGGGAAUUUAAACCUCUUCCAGAGUAUCAAUUGGAGGGCAAGUCUGGUGCCAGCAGCCGCGGUAAUUCCAGCUCCAAUAGCGUAUAUUAAAAUUGUUGCAGUUAAAAAGCUCGUAGUUGAAUUUCUGCUGCAUUGCAUUUUCUCCUAUACGAGUUUUUGCAUUGUGGCUUAUUUCGGUUAUAAAAUUUAUUUUUAUUUCCGGAUGUUUACUUUGAGAAAAUUAGAGUGCUCAAAGCAGGCUUUUGCCUUGAAUAGUUUAGCAUGGAAUAAUAAAGUAGGACUUUGGUUCUAUUUUGUUGGUUUUAGGUACCAAAGUAAUGGUUAAUAGGAACAGUUGGGGG
rnacentral:rRNA from 1 species